rnacentral:lncRNA from 1 species
UACUAGUAUCCAUGGGGAUCCAUAAGGGUCCCCCCUACACGUGAACCAUUCACCUUAAUUCCAGGGCCGUCCCCAUACCCUGUCCGGUAUGAGCGCCAAAACUAUAAACCUCAAUACCCUAUCCGGUAUGAGGGUGAAGCGGGCCGUCCCCAUACCCCGUCCGGUAUGAGUGCUAAAACAUUUAAAGUCUCCAUACCCCGUCCGAUAUGAGAGACUACGUUCCCGAUAGGGUUCUCUAUGGACCCGGUCCGUCCACCAUCUCCCAGGAUAUCUAGUGAGGCUGUCGACUUAUCCAUUUAUAAACUUACAUACCCUUUUUAUUUUU